rnacentral:sRNA from 1 species
GUAAGUGGAUAGGUAGAGAAGAUGGAAUCUAUUUUU